AUUUCCUCCAAUAUCUGCUGCAAUCACUGAGUGAUGCUUCAGGAAAUGAACAGGAAGCAUCAUCCUCAAGAGCUCCUCUUCAGGCUUCCUCCAACUGGAGCACAAGAAAAACUCUCUUUUCAGAGAGGUGGAGGGACGAGAGACCCCGGCAUGUGAACACUGCAGCCGCACAAGAACAUUUGGGAAAGCACAUGUGCCAACAGUGUGGGAGCAAUCCAGCGGCUGUCCGUUGUCGUGACUGUCGACCACGGCCCUUCUUCUGUGCUGACUGUGAUGUCAGCGUGCACGUCAGACAUGUCCUCCACAACAGGGAUGCAAUGACUGCUGGAUUCAUCCAGCCAUUACCUCCAACAUCUCUUGUUGUGGAUAAGGCCCUUUCCCAUUGUGCUACGUGCUGUUGUGUUACUGUCAAACACAUUCAAUUCAACAUCUUUCGAGUACCUUUUCAGCAACAUACUUCAUGGCCAUGAAGUCUUUUUUUCAUUUUCUCAUUACGGUUUGUACCUGUGGAGACGCCUGACCAGAAUUAUUAAAGGUCAACCCAGGAAACGAUGUUACUGUGGUCACAAUGAAUGGGCGACAUGAUCUCAGCAUGCCUGAGUUGAAUUGUGAGGCAUGCAAAGCCACUUGGACUGCUGGAGUGGACGACCUCAUUCGCAGUGACUACUGGCCUGCUACACUUCACUCUGCUACAGUUUAUGCAACCCAGAUUUUGUUUUCAUUUGAAGAAAUGAAGAU